rnacentral:rRNA from 1 species
CGCGUAGGUGGUAGUGCAAGUCUGAGGUGGAAUCCCAGGGCUUAACCCUGGAACUGCCUUGGAAACUGCACUACUUGAGUCAGUGAGGGGAGGGUAGAAUUCCUGGUGUAGCGGUGAAAUGCGUAGAUAUCAGGAGGAAGGCCGGUGGCGAAGGCGGCCCUCUGGCGCUGAACUGACACUGAGGCGCGAAAGCGUGGGUAGCAAACAGGAUUAGAUACCCUGGUAGCCCACGCCCUAAACGGUGGGUACUAGGUGUAGGGCUCGUAAGGGUUCUGUGCCGAAGCGAAAGCAUUAAGUACCCCGCCUGGGGAGUACGGCCGCAAGGUUGAA